ensembl:snoRNA SNORA70 Small nucleolar RNA SNORA70
CUGCCGCCAGUUGAGCCAACUAUGCUCCUUUCUCCGGGGCCUGGCGUACAGUGACCGCAGACAGCAUCCUCCUUGGUAGUGUGUGCAGCCUGUUGCUUGGAUGGGUUGCCCUAAGGGACCUUGAGAUGGGC